rnacentral:rRNA from 1 species
UACGUAGGGGGCAAGCGUUGUCCGGAAUCAUUGGGCGUAAAGCGCGUGUAGGCGGCCCGAUAAGUCCGCUGUGAAAGUCCAGGGCUCAACCCUGGGAUGCCGGUGGAUACUGUCGGGCUCGAGUCCGGAAGAGGCGAGUGGAAUUCCUGGUGUAGGCGGUGAAAUGCGCAGAUAUCAGGAGGAACACCAAUGGCGAAGGCAGCUCGCUGGGACGUGACUGACGCUGAGACGCGAAAGCGUGGGGAGCAAACAGG